rnacentral:rRNA from 1 species
GACGAACGCUGGCGGCGUGCUUAACACAUGCAAGUCGAACGGAAAGGCCUCUUUCGGGGGGUACUCGAGUGGCGAACGGGUGAGUAACACGUGAGUAACCUGCCCUUGACUUUGGGAUAACUUCAGGAAACUGGGGCUAAUACCGGAUAGGAGCUCCUGCUGCAUGGUGGGGGUGGGAAAGUUUCGGCGGUUGGGGAUGGACUCGCGGCUUAUCAGCUUGUUGGUGGGGUAGUGGCUUACCAAGGCCUUGACGGGUAGCCGGCCUGAGAGGGUGACCGGCCACAUUGGGACUGAGAUACGGCCCAGACUCCUACGGGAGGCAGCAGUGGGGAAUAUUGCACAAUGGGUGGAAGCCUGAUGCAGCAACGCCGUGUGCGGGAUGACGGCCUUCGGGUUGUAAACCGCUUUCGCUCAUGACGAAGCUUUGUGUGACGGUAGUGGGUAAAGAAGCACCGGCUAACUACGUG